CCUACGGGAGGCGGCAGUGGGGGAUAUUGCACAAUGGGGGAAACCCUGAUGCAGCGACGCCGCGUGUGGGAAGACGGUCCUCUGGAUUGUAAACCACUGUCCCCAGGGACGAAGCUGACGGUACCUGGGGCGGACGCUCCGGCUCACUACGGGCCAGCAGCCGCGGUUAUACGUAGGGAGCAAGCGUUGUCCGGAAUUACUGGGUGUAAAGGGAGCGUAGGCUGUGAGGUAAGUCAGCGGUGAAAUGCCCCGGCUCAACGGGGGGAAGUGCCAUUGAUACUGCCUUGCUGGAAUGCGGAUGCGGGGGGAGGAAUGUGUGGUGUAGCGGUGAAAUGCAUAGAUAUCACACAGAACACCGAUUGCGAAGGCAUCUCACGAAUCCGCGAUUGACGCUGAGGCACGAAAGCGUGGGUAUCAAACAGGAUUAGAUACCCGAGUAGUC
rnacentral:rRNA from 1 species